AGGGGUGUAGUUCAGUUGGUAGAACAGUGGUCUCCAAAACCACGUGUCGUGGGUUCAAAUCCUGUCACCCCUGCCA
rnacentral:tRNA from 1 species